rnacentral:misc_RNA from 1 species
UUGCAGUCAUGUCGGUUGCGGAGAUGACGUUCGAGUGCUGUGCGCUGUCAGCGCAGAGUCUGCCGGAUCGGGAUAACGUCCUUGCUGACAGUGCCAUGCGAGGCCUUCAGCAGUUCGCGCACCCGCGCCGCCGGGACUGGACGGCUGAACAGGAAGCCUUGCGCUUCGGUGACAGUGCCCUCAGCACUGAUGAGCUCGAGUUGCUCGUUGGUCUCGAUGCCCUCGACCACAACCGACAUGCCGAGAUCGGCGCUGAGGCGUGCGACGCCGCGCAACAGCGUCAGCGGCCGCUG